GAUGAACGCUGGCGGCGUGCCUAAUACAUGCAAGUCGAGCGAACAGACGAGGAGCUUGCUCCUCUGACGUUAGCGGCGGACGGGUGAGUAACACGUGGAUAACCUACCUAUAAGACUGGGAUAACUUCGGGAAACCGGAGCUAAUACCGGAUAAUAUAUUGAACCGCAUGGUUCAAUAGUGAAAGACGGUUUUGCUGUCACUUAUAGAUGGAUCCGCGCCGCAUUAGCUAGUUGGUAAGGUAACGGCUUACCAAGGCAACGAUGCGUAGCCGACCUGAGAGGGUGAUCGGCCACACUGGAACUGAGACACGGUCCAGACUCCUACGGGAGGCAGCAGUAGGGAAUCUUACGCAAUGGGCGAAAGCCUGACGGAGCAACGCCGCGUGAGUGAUGAAGGUCUUCGGAUCGUAAAACUCUGUUAUUAGGGAAGAACAAAUGUGUAAGUAACUAUGCACGUCUUGACGGUACCUAAUCAGAAAGCCACGGCUAACUACGCG
rnacentral:rRNA from 1 species